GGAUCCAGACUUUGAUUAUGGCUCAGGAUGAACGCUAGCUACAGGCUUAACACAUGCAAGUCGAGGGGCAGCAUGACGAUAGCUUGCUAUUGUUGAUGGCGACCGGCGCACGGGUGAAUAACGCGUAUCCAACCUGCCCUUGUCCAUCGGAUAACCCGUCGAAAGGCGGCCUAACACGAUAUGCAGUUCUCAGCAGGCAUCUAACGAGAACGAAAUGUGAAGGAGAAGGAUGGGGAUGCGUCUGAUUAGCUUGUUGGCGGGGUAACGGCCCACCAAGGCGACGAUCAGUAGGGGUUCUGAGAGGAAGGUCCCCCACAUUGGAACUGAGACACGGUCCAAACUCCUACGGGAGGCAGCAGUGAGGAAUAUUGGUCAAUGGGCGAGAGCCUGAACCAGCCAAGUAGCGUGCAGGAUGACGGCCCUAUGGGUUGUAAACUGCUUUUAUGCGGGGAUAAAGUGAGCCACGUGUGGCUUAUUGCAGGUACCGCAUGAAUAAGGACCGGCUAAUUCCGUGCCAGCAGCCGCGGUAAUACGGAAGGUCCGGGCGUUAUCCGGAUUUAUUGGGUUUAAAGGGAGCGUAGGCCGUCUGAUAAGCGUGUUGUGAAAUGUCGGGGCUCAACCUGGGCAUUGCAGCGCGAACUGUGAGACUUGAGUGCGCGGGAAGUAGGCGGAAUUCGUCGUGUAGCGGUGAAAUGCUUAGAUAUGACGAAGAACUCCGAUUGCGAAGGCAGCCUGCUGUAGCGCAACUGACGCUGAAGCUCGAAAGCGUGGGUAUCGAACAGGAUUAGAUACCCUGGUAGUCCACGCGGUAAACGAUGGAUGCUCGCUGUUUGCGUCUGACGUAAGCGGCCAAGCGAAAGCGUUAAGCAUCCCACCUGGGGAGUACGCCGGCAACGGUGCAACUCGAAUGAAUUGACG
rnacentral:rRNA from 1 species